rnacentral:rRNA from 1 species
UACGUAGGGUGCAAGCGUUAAUCGGAAUUACUGGGCGUAAAGCGUGCGCAGGCGGUUUUGUAAGUCUGUCGUGAAAAUCCCUGGGCUCAACCUAGGAAUUGCGAUGGAGACUGCAAGGCUAGAAUCUGGCAGAGGGGGGUAGAAUUCCACGUGUAGCAGUGAAAUGCGUAGAGAUGUGGAGGAACACCGAUGGCGAAGGCAGCCCCCCUGGGUCAAGAUUGACGCUCAUGCA